rnacentral:rRNA from 1 species
AUUGAACGCUGGCGGCAGGCCUAACACAUGCAAGUCGAACGAGUGGCGGACGGGUGAGUAAUGUCUGGGAAACUGCCCGAUGGAGGGGGAUAACUACUGGAAACGGUAGCUAAUAACGCAUACCAUCGGAUGUGCCCAGAUGGGAUUAGCUUGUAGGUGAGGUAACGUCUCACAUAGGCGACGAUCCCUAGAUGGUCUGAGCGGAUGACCAGCCACGCUUGAACGGUGACACGGUCCAUACUCCUCCGGGGGCAAGCAGUGGGGAGUAUUGCACAAGGGGCGCAAUCCUGAUGCAGCCAGGCCGCGUGUAUGAAGAAGGCCUUCGGGUUGUAAAGUACUUUCAGCGGGGAGGCGUGACCCGCAGAAGAAGCACCGGCUAACUCCGUGCCAGCAGCCGCGGUAAUAC